rnacentral:rRNA from 1 species
CCUACGGGUGGCUGCAGUGGGGAAUCUUGGGCAAUGGAGGAAACUCUGACCCAGCAACGCCGCGUGAAUGAUGAAGUUCUUCGGAUUGUAAAGUUCUUUUCUAAGGGAAGAAGAAAGUGACGGUACCUUAGGAGUAAGCCUAGGCUAACUACGUGCCAGCAGCCGCGGUAAGACGUAGGAGGCAAGCGUUAUCCGGAAUGACUGGGCGUAAAGGGCGCGGAGGUGGUUUGACAAGUUGUUAGCGAAACGCCGGGGCUCAACCUCGGCACUACUACCAAAACUAUCGGACUUGAGUGCAGGAGGGGCAAAUGGAAUUCCUAGUGUAGCGGUGGAAUGCGUAGAUAUUAGGAGGAACACCAGUGGCGAAGGCGAUUUGCUGGACUGUAACUGACACUGAGGCACGAAAGCGUGGGGAGCAAACAGGAUUAGAUACCCCAGUAGUC